rnacentral:rRNA from 1 species
CCUACGGGAGGCAGCAGUGGGGAAUAUUGGACAAUGGGGGGAACCCUGAUCCAGCCAUGCCGCGUGCGUGAAGAAGGCCCUCGGGUUGUAAAGCACUUUCAGUGAGGAAGAACGCCUGGUGGUUAAUACCCAUCAGGAAAGACAUCACUCACAGAAGAAGCACCGGCUAACUCCGUGCCAGCAGCCGCGGUAAUACGGAGGGUGCGAGCGUUAAUCGGAAUUACUGGGCGUAAAGCGCGCGUAGGUGGCUUGAUAAGCCGGUUGUGAAAGCCCCGGGCUCAACCUGGGAACGGCAUCCGGAACUGUCAAGCUAGAGUGCAGGAGAGGAAGGUAGAAUUCCCGGUGUAGCGGUGAAAUGCGUAGAGAUCGGGAGGAAUACCAGUGGCGAAGGCGGCCUUCUGGACUGACACUGACACUGAGGUGCGAAAGCGUGGGUAGCAAACAGGAUUAGAUACCCGUGUAGUC